rnacentral:misc_RNA from 1 species
AGACUGACCAGUUCGGAGGCCUACUUCGUCAGCGAAGCCCUUUAUUGUCAUCCCGAGGAAUUGGAGAACCCGAGGGAAAUAACGUUGCACGUUAUCACGAUCGGAUCGCAGAUCGAAGAUUCGACCAAGAAGGACGAUUUCCCAGCGAUAGCUGCAGCUCUGCGUCGUUACAUUCCCGAAAGCGACACACCGUUCAUUCUGGACGUUGACUUGGAUUUCUUCAGCACGCGAAAUCCGUUUCGCGAUCUCUACGAACGUGCCGGACUCUACGAUCGUCUCGCGCCUCUUUACGCCUUCGCUCGACCGGAUUCGUCCGAUCCCGAGCUGCUUAAGGAGGCUGUGGCAUCGCGAGACGAGCAACUCAGCGAGCUCAAAUCACUUUUUGGGCAUCUCCAGGAGCACCGGAGUCUACGCGGAUACGAAAAAAGUGGAGAUACACGUCGAUUCGAAGCGGUGGAAAGGAUAUUUCGCGAGGUGACCUCGGUCUACAAGGAGUCCGAAGUCGACUGGAAUUUGGUGCACGACGCGGGGUGCACGAGGGAUGAUACGGACCUUCCGCACCACGUCACGUCCCAGCAGGACCUCGAUCGUUUGAUAACGGGGACGUUCAGGACAUUCCUUGCGGCGCUUCCGGCGAAACCGACGAUCGUCACCGUAGCCAGGUCCAGUUUGGACGACUACUGCCCAACCGAGGACGUCGAACUCAUUCAAGCCGGGAUCCUUGACGAACUAAGUCACCGGCUCGGAACCGUCGAUAUCAAGAGACCUUACCUCGAAGUCGAAGAAGCUACCUAAGCGAUCGAAGGAGAUAAAACGAGAGGUCCUGAAUCGCUCGAAAGAUGAUUUUUUUUUUUCAAUAUUCAUUUCCCAAUAAAUAGACUAAAAUUUUCUCUACAUAAUUCACUGAUUUAUUUUCAGUAGCGUUCGGUGUCCUCAAUUUUUAACCAAGUCAGGGUCCUGCGGGACGUGCACGCUACGCGUACGUCGAGCGACCCUUUUGCUCCUCCGCGCUCCACGGACCUCCGGGUUUCGUGUUUCUCGCGCGAUUUACAUAAGAUCUGUACCACUGGGCUACAAACCAGUGCCUGCAGGCACUCGCACAAUGAGUUUACAAUGCCGGG